GACGAACGCUGGCGGCGUGCUUAACACAUGCAAGCCGAACGGAGCACCCUUGACUGAGGUUUCGGCCAAAUGAUAGGAAUGCUUAGCGGCGGACUGGUGAGUAACGCGUGAGGAACCUGCCUUUCAGAGGGGGACAACAGUUGGAAACGACUGCUAAUACCGCAUGACGCAUUUUGAUCGCAUGGCCGAAAUUCCAAAGAUUUAUCGCUGAAAGAUGGCCUCGCAUCUGAUUAGCGAGUUGGUGAGGUAACGGCCCACCAAGGCGACGAUCAGUAGCCGGACUGAGAGGUUGACCGGCCACAUUGGGACUGAGAUACGGCCCAGACUCCUACGGGAGGCAGCAGUGGGGAAUAUUGGGCAAUGGGCGCAAGCCUGACCCAGCAACGCCGCGUGAAGGAAGAAGGCUUUCGGGUUGUAAACUUCUUUUAAGUGGGAAGAGCAGAAGACGGUACCACUUGAAUAAGCCACGGCUAACUACGUGCCAGCCGCCGCCGUAA
rnacentral:rRNA from 1 species